CGUAGGGUGCAGGCGUUAAUCGGAAUUACUGGGCGUAAAGCGUGCGCAGGCGGUUUCUUAAGUCAGAUGUGAAAGCCCCGGGCUUAACCUGGGAACUGCGUUUGAAACUGGGAGACUUGAGUGUGGCAGAGGGGGUGGAAUUCCACGUGUAGCAGUGAAAUGCGUAGAUAUGUGGAGGAACACCGAUGGCGAAGGCAGCCCCCUGGGUUAACACUGACGCUCAUGCACGAAAGCGUGGGGAGCAAACAGGAUUAGAUACCCUGGUAGUCCACGCCCUAAACUAUGUCAACUGGUUGUCGGGGGAUUAACUCCCUUGGUAACGAAGCUAACGCGUGAAGUUGACCGCCUGGGGAGUACGGCCGCAAGGUUA
rnacentral:rRNA from 1 species